rnacentral:rRNA from 1 species
GACGUAGGGGGCAAGCGUUGUCCGGAAUUACUGGGCGUAAAGGGCGUGUAGGCGGUGGCGUACGUAGCGGUUAUAAGCCGUCGGCUCACCCGACGGAUGGUCGCUAAACGGCGCGACUGGAGGGCAGGAGAGGUGCGUGGAAUUCCUGGUGGAGCGGUGAAAUGCGUAGAGAUCAGGAAGAACACCAGUGGCGAAGGCGACGCACUGGCCUGUCCCUGACGCUGAGGCGCGAUAGCGUGGGGAGCAAACGGGAUUAGAUACCCCGGUAGUCCACGCCGUAAACGAUGGGUACUAGGUGUCGCCCGGGUCCACCGGGCGGUGCCGGAGCUAACGCACUAAGUACCCCGCCUGGGGAGUACGGCCGCAAGGUUGAAACUCAAAGGAAUUGACGGGGGCCCGCACAAGCAGUGGAGCAUGUGGUUUAAUUCGACGCAACGCGCAGAACCUUACCAGGACUAGACGGGAUCGUGAGCGCCGCGAAAGCGGCGGGCGGCUUCGGCCGAGCGAUCGUCAGGUGCUGCAUGGUUGUCGUCAGCUCGUGUCGUGAGAUGUUGGGUUAAGUCCCGCAACGAGCGCAACCCCUGUCGUGUGUUGCCAGCGGUUCGGCCGGGCACUCACGCGAGACAGCCGGGGACGACCCGGAGGAAGGUGGGGAUGACGUCAAAUCCGCAUGGCCUUUAUGUCCUGGGCUACACACGUGCUACAAUGGCCGCGACAAUGGGUCGCUACGACGCGAGUCGAUGCUAACCCCCAAACGCGGUCUCAGUUCGGAUUGCAGGCUGCAACCCGCCUGCAUGAAGCCGGAAUUGCUAGUAAUCGCGGAUCAGCAUGCCGCGGUGAAUCCGUUCCCGGGCCUUGUACACACCGCCCGUCACACCACGAGAGUUGGCCACACCCGAAGCCGGGCCCGCGAACCUUUCGAGGACGCGGCCGUCGACGGUGGGGUUGGUAAUUGGGGUG